UUUUAACAUGGAUUCUGCACUACUAGGUUAAGAUUUUAGAAUCCACAAAUGACAAAGCCAUAUAGACUCCUUCCUAUUCUUAUGAACCUACUGAAGUAGAAGAUUCACUGGACUUCAAGCCACUCCUCUCCCAGCCCAUGUCAUGAACUUUAUGUUUGGACUGAAUAAAGAAACAUGGUAAAACAUCCAAAACCCUCAAAUCUGGCCAUGGAAACACUGGAAGGUAGAUAUUAGAGAACUGCUAUCUAAUGCCACUGCAGAACCACAUUAUAUAGUCUAUGUUGUCCUUUCCUUUACUAAUGUCAGGUAAUUUUUGGAUAAAAUAAGGAUUUAGGAGUUUAUCAUUUAAGUAGAUACAGAAUAUUUACACUAUUAUAUUCACUUUAGAACUGGGCCCCCUUUUUUCUAAAAUCAGAGCAAAAAAUGGAAUAGGAUAAUAGAACAUUGGAGUACACAUUCAGCAAUAUAUAUAAAGUCCACUAUCAAGGAAUGUACAAUAACAAAAUGUAAUAAAAUAUUCACUCAAUUAAAGGUCUGUAGGGAAAAUAUUGGCCUUUAGAAAAGAGAGAUAUCUGAGGAAAUUGAACUAUAGGCCAGAGGAAUGGAACUGGGAAUAAAAUUAUUAUCCAGUAGAAUCUCCUGCACUCCAUAUUCCUAGAUCUUAGAGACCCAAGCCAUGCCUCUGGCUAACUUUCCCCAUUCAGAGCAUGUGACCAUUAGUGGAGCAGAGAUAAGUCUCUACCUUAAGAGAGAUUGAGUACAUAAAGGUUUCCAGUGUGUCACAGGAGACAUACCUGGAAAGGACACCUUCGAAUCUGGUAAAUGUAAGGAAAGCUGUUUAGCAUGUAGGAGAUGGCAGUUCUCAGUGACAUCAUAAAUAGGACCUCCAUGACAAAUUUAUUGUAACUAGGAGAGCCCUAGCUUCUUCUGUGAUGUAACAAUUACUGUCCUGACAGGAACUGCCUCUCACAUAUUCCCUCAGUAACUCUCCGGUUUGCUAAUUGGCCACUAAUUCAGAGUAAACAGCCAUUUGGGAGUGAGAACAAAAAGGAUAAAGAGAUCAGAGAUGGGGAGAAAGAAGCUGACCUUCUGUCUUUGUAUGAAAUAAAAGGAAAAAUAAGUGGUACUUUGACAAGUUCAGGGAGCCCUUGGAAGGGUUGGAGUGGUAUCGCUGAAGAGAUAGACUUGAUCUGAGACUUACACAUAUGGGAAUCAAGAGCUGGAAGCUUCACAGAAGCAUCUGGACUUCCCUGUUCUUAUGGUUCCUGGAUGUCAAAGAAGAAAAAGGUCCUAAGGAAGGAGGUAAAGACAAGUAUUGGGUCCUCAGGUCAGAGUAAACUCCUCCAAGCUUUGGAUACCUAUAGUGCAUUUUGUGUCUGACACGGAUAUCUCGGAGAAAGAAGUGCUUCUAGUUGAGACUUCAUCAUCUUUGUCUUACUACAAGUAUUACUCUGAAUACCAAUUUAGAUUUCUGAGUAAAUAACUGUGAUUAGUU